GCCGAGCCGGCAAGGUAGACGGGUCUGCGGGCAUCAUGGGCUGGCUGCCACCUCCUGCCAUUUCACAAUCCUCUGAGAUCAGGUGUCACUCUUGGCCCUGGUGGGAACCAGGAACCUAAUCAGCUUCCAGGCCAGCGCAGCUCGACCAGCUGCAGCCGGACCCUGGUCCACUCCUCCCUUCCCUCCUUCCUCCUGGUGCCUGAGGGCAGGACCGCGGUAGGAGAGGAUCAGACCUAGGACUUCUGGAUUCCCAUUCCAAGACUCUGGGGUCUCCCCAUAAUGCCCAGGGACGGACGGGGGACUAGGGGGAAAAGGCAAGGCCCACAAGGAGGCAGUAGAGCCUGGAGAUUAAGUGGUUGAAUUUGUGGUCAGCCAGAGCAGCGCAGAUCCCUCUUCGGGGAUUAAUGAUGGAGGGAUAGUAGUAGCGAGUAGAGAAAAAGCAGUUGUUAUGAAUAAAUGAACCCAUUUGACACAAGAAACUGAGGCCCAUGAAGGUGAAACACCUGUUAACGGUCUCCAGCUGUUUUUGGUGUGUUUCUCUCUUUCUCUUGUCCACACCCGGCCUCUAUCUGUGCUCAGUGCCUCAUGGAUCUUCCCAGCAAACCUCUGGACAGAGAGUAACUAUUGUCAUUAGCUGUAUGUGAUGGAUGAACUGGGUUUCAGAGAUUUAGACCCCACCCCAGCAAAGCUGUAGAGACCAGGUUUUGAAUCCGUGUAUCUUCCAAGCCCUUGUUUUUUCCAUUCCAUCAUAAGUAUUCUCUAGAUGCCGACUAUGUGACACAUAUAGGGCAAGACGCUUGGUUUAGAGAAAGUAAUCGAAGGGGCCCUCCAGCACUGGCCUUGGGGUGACAGGGUCUGGGUUUGACCUCCAUGUCCACCACUUUUCAGCUGAGGGAACUUGAAGAAUAAAUCGCUUCCCUAUUCUGCGCUGUCAUUUUAUUAUCUACAAAGUUGAUGAUCAUAUCAGAAUUCAACAAGAACACAAAUGUAAAGUCUUUGCCGUAGGCUAGCUGUGUACUUCUUUUUUUUUUUUAAGAUACCUUUUUUCUCCUGACCGGGAAACGAACCCGGGCCGCGGUGGUGAGAGCGCUGAAUCCUAACCAUUAGCUGUGUACUCUUUGAGGGCUAAGUCAGCAUGAUUGGUGUAGGAACCCCAGCCUUGAUACAUAAUGGAUAAAUGGUGAAAUACUAUUACUAAAGAGACCAAUAAAUAUAUAUGUCAAGCAUUAGAAUCCAGGCUGGCCAAUGCCAAAACAGAGUUACCCCGGGAGUUAGACAGGAAAUACUUUCAAACAUUUCAAACAAACAAGCCAAGGUUCUAUAAGCCCCAGAGGUCUUUGUUGCUGAAAGUUAGAGAGGGUCUGGGGCAGUGACCGUUGGAAUGGCAGGUAAAUAGAGCUCACCUCCAGCCUCUGUCCCCACAGAUGGAGCCUGUAAAAGAAGCUGAGAAUGCCUCUCCCAGCUUCCCAUGCCCAGCCUGGAACCGGAGACAUGCCGAUGUUGGGAGGAGCCAGGACUAUUUGCUCUGAGCUCAGAGAAGUCAACAGCAAUGAAGCAGGAGCCAGGUGGGGGCACCACAACUGGGCAGGCUCCUGAAACUCAGUCUAGGGCACGCAGAGGACGUUUUGGUGAGCAACCGGUUUUAGCCUGUAGACUGGGCUGACUACUGGACAUUCAACCUUAGGCACUGCUGCCCACAGCUUUCUUCUGGGACUUACCCAGCUCCUCAGGUGAGGAAACUAUCCAGCCUCAUUUCUUCCCAACGCUCAAGGGCUCCCCUGCUUACUGGCUGUCUUUUACAGGAAUGGGGAUUAGUCUGAGGCUGAAGGGAUGGGGUGGGGCAGAGGAUGGAGAAGAAAGUUUCAUCAGUCAAUGUCCCUUGGCAUGAAAAAAAACACUCUGCUUUUAUAAUGCUUGGCUUUGUUCUAGGGACAUUCACAUGUUUUCUCUUCUACGUAACUGUUAAAAAGGAUGAAGGCUUUAGAAGUGAGUACAGUUCAGGUCCAAAUCCAGGGCUGACUACUUCCUGGCUAUGUGACUUAGAGCAAUACUUCACUUUUUGGACCUACAUCUCCUUCCAUAAAAGAGAUCCUUCAGGGCACAACCCAAUUCGCCAGAGCUCGAAACCACAGAACCCCUCGUGGUUACCUCGUCCCCCUGCAUACCAUCUCUGUGUGCUGUAAAGGUUAAUUAACUGUCCUGUACCCAUCAGUGUAAAGGAAGUAUGUGUUCCUCCAUUUUACUUUUUAUCCAAUCCCGGAGAUUUCCCCGCUGCUUCGCUUUCUCCCGCCCCCUUUAUCUACCACCAAUGAAUUUCCUGUAACCCUCCCUAUGCCUCCUCCUUUGAUUCUAAUGGAUAAAAUUAGCUACGAAACUGCCAUUCUCUGGAGCAUUUUCUUAAUUCGUUGAGAGUUUGCUUCCUGGAAAUUAUUGUCAGUUUGGCUCAAAUAAAUGCAUUAAAAUGC